UUUUGUCAAACACGGAGGUACCGUUCGCAUGCAUUCGUCUUCAAGAAAGCGAGCAGCGUGGUUGAAGUUUAAGCGGCCUUGCACAGUGAAAACGCCAACUGUCUCGUUAGUCAGAGAGAGCGCGAUUUUAGUGCCAAGAAAAAAAAGGACGAAACGAAAAGAAAUAAUCAAGAACGGAUUCCAGUGUGGCAUUAUCAUUCCUACUUUCUAAAGAAGAUCUACGGAAUCUGUUUUUCGUCAAUCUCAGUUCUGGGGGUAUCGCGGCAUAACCUGUUCUUUUAAACUUCAAUGGUGAUGACAGCUUCUGUUCUCCAGGAAAGUGGAGAAAAACAGACUAAAAUACAGAGAUCGAACAAUAAACUUAUUUGCUGUUCUUUGCGAUUGAUGGUGAAAACAUAGAGCUUUUUAAUGGAGAUCAGGGAAGCUUGUCCUUCUUGUCCAUUCCGGAUUAAGAGUGCACUAAUAGCAAAAUUCAUCAUUCUACUUCUUGUGACAGCAACAUUAACUGAAGGGGCGCCUAUUCCCGGUCACUAUUUGGAGGAAACACCAGGAGAGGAUCGGUCUUACCAUAUUCACAAUUUCGUGAAGAGAAUGCAUAAGCUAUUCAGUUUAAUACAGUUUACAAUAAGGCAUAAUCUUGGCAUGUUUUGAAAAAUGUAAAUUAUUGUCCAUACAAACCACUGAGUGAUUUCAGUCAACUGAUUUUAUUUUCUAAAUGUAUCUUAAGAACUUUGAGAGAUGUCUUACCUCCAAUAAAUUCAUUUUGUACAAGGA